rnacentral:misc_RNA from 1 species
AGAUGAAGAACGCAGCGAAAUGCGAUAAGUAAUGUGAAUUGCAGAAUUCAGUGAAUCAUCGAAUCUUUGAACGCACAUUGCGCCCGCCAGUAUUCUGGCGGGCAUGCCUGUUCGAGCGUCAUUUCAACCAUCAAGCCCCCGGCUUGUGUGUUGGGUCUCGUCCCCCUUCCCGGGGGGACGGGCCCGAAAGGCAGCGGCGGCACCGCGUCCGGUCCUCGAGCGUAUGGGGCUUUGUCACCCGCUCUGUAGGCCCGGCCGGCGCUUGCCGAUCAACCAAAACUUUUUUCCAGGUUGACCUCGGAUCAGGUAGGGAUACCCGCUGAACUUAAGCAUAUCAAUAAGCGGAGGA